AAUUCUCCGCACCGGGGAAGGAUGAGAAGCUUCGACAAGGUUCGAGUUGAGCGUAGCGAAACAACGCGCUUCAGCGCGGCCCGAAGGGUGAGGAGCGCAGCGACGAAUAAUCCUUCCCCCACCACCA
rnacentral:sRNA from 1 species